CCGCUCAGCUCCGUCCGAUCCGCUCCGAUCCGCUCCGAUGCUCAGUCCGUCGCUCCGGAUCCACUCCCGCGUGCGGAAAACCGUAUGUUUGUGUAUAAACCGCACGAGGGUUGUGUGCGAUUAGUCGGUGGCAGGUCCCGAUAGGCACAUGUUCCUAGUGCAUUCCCUAUUUCGGUGAAAGAUGGUAAGGCGCCCGCCCC